GAGGCUUUAGGGGUUAGUUAUCAUAAUUUAGAAGUUAGGGGUUAGUGAUUAUGAUUUAGGGGUUAGGGAUUAUGGUCUAGGGGUUAGUGAUUAUGGUCUAGGAGUUAGGGGGUAGUGAUUAUGGUCUAGGAGUUAGGGGUUAGUGAUUAUGGUCUAGGGGUUAGGGGUUAGUGAUUAUGAUCUAGGAGUUAGGCGUUAGUGAUUAUGAUCUAGGGGUUAGGGGUUAGUGAUUAUGGUCUAGGGGUUAGGGGUUAGUGAUUAUGGUCUAGGGGUUAGGGGUUAGUGAUUAUGGUCUAGGGGUU
ensembl:lncRNA